rnacentral:rRNA from 1 species
UACCGGAUGUGGCUGUAUGAACUGCGGUUCUAACAGUUAAAGAUUCAUCGCUUCGCGAUGAGCUCGCGGUCCAUCAGCUUGUUGGUGAGGUAACCGCUCACCACGGCCACGACCGAUAGAUGGUCUGAGAGGAUGCACCACCCACACUGAGACUGAGACACUGCCCAGACUCCUACGGGAGGCUGCAGUCGAGAAUCUUCCGCAAUGGGAGCACGCCUGACGGAACGAUGCUGCGUGCCGUACGAAGGCCUUCCGGUCGUAAACACGCUGUCACUCGGGACGAAUUUUGACGGUACCGACAGAGGAAGCCACGGCAUAACUACGUGGCAGCAGCCGCGAAUAAUACGUAGGUGGCCAGCGUUAUUCGGAAUUAUUGGGCCUAGAGCGGUUCCUAGGGGGUAAAGUACGUCCGGUGUGAAAUCUCGAGGCUCCACCUCGAAACUGCAUUGGAAACUGCAUUACUUGAGUGUCAGAGAGGAAAGCGGAAUUCCUGAUGUAGCCGUGGAAUGCGUAGAUCUCAUGAAGAACACCGACGGCGAAAGCAUCUUUCCGGCUGGCAACUGACCCUGAUGAACGAAAGCUAGGGUAGGGAACAAGAUUAGUUUCCCUGGUAGUACUAGCUGUAAACGUUGUUCACUGGAUGUGGGCGGAUUUGGUCCCGCCUGUGUCUGAACGGGCGGGUGAGUGCACCGCCUGGGGACUACAGCCGCAAGGCUAAAACUCAAAGGAAUUGACGGGGGACCGCACAAGCGGUGGAGCAUGUGGCUCAAUUCGAGGCAACGCGAGAGACCCUUUCCUGGGUUUGACAUAUUCCUGAGCGCCGGUGAGAGCCGGUUUCUCUUUGAGCAGGUAUACAGGUGCUGCAUGGCUGUCGACAGCUCGUGCUGUGAAGUGUUCGGUUAAGUCCGGCAACGAGCGCAACCCACGCUGUUAGUUACCAUCAGGUAAUGCUGGGGACUCUAACAGGACUGCCCGUGCUAAGCGCGAGGAAGGCGUGGACGACGUCAAGUCCGCAUGGCCCUUACGCCCAGGGCUGCACACGUGCUACAAUGGCCGAUACAGAGGGUCGCCACUCUGCGAGUAUAGAGCUAAUCCCGAAAACCGGCCUCAGUUCGGAUUG